rnacentral:piRNA from 1 species
UGUCAUGAUUGAUGCAGGAAACAGAUU